GAUGAACGCUGGCGGCAUGCCUAACACAUGCAAGUCGGACGGGCAGUGGUGUUUCCAGUGGCGCUCGUGUGAGCAACGCGUAAGAACGUGCCCUUGGGAUAGGAACACCAGCUGGAAACGGCUGCUAAUACCCCGCACGCCUAGGAGCAAAAGGAGGAAUCCGCCCGAUGAGGGGCACGCGUCUGAUUAGCUAGCUGGCGAGGCAAUAGCGUACCAAGGCGAUGAUCAGUAGCUGGUGAGAGAGGAUGCUCAGCCGCACCGGGACGGAGGCACGACCCAGGAUCCUACGGGAAUGGGCGGUAGCGAGAUGUCCGAAAUGGGCGAAAGCCUGACGGAGCAAUGCCGCGUAAAGGUAGAAGGCCUACGAGUCGUGAACGUCUUAGCCCGGAGGAGAAGCAAUAACGGUAUUAGGGAGAUAGGCAUCGGCUAACUCUGG
rnacentral:rRNA from 1 species